CUCCAGACUCCUACGGGAGGCAGCAGUGGGGAAUAUUGCACAAUGGGGGAAACCCUGAUGCAGCGACGCCGCGUGAGCGAUGAAGUAUUUCGGUAUGUAAAGCUCUAUCAGCAGGGAAGAAGAUGACGGUACCUGACUAAGAGGCCCCGGCUAACUACGUGCCAGCAGCCGCGGUAAUACGUAGGGGGCGAGCGUUAUCCGGAUUCACUGGGUGUAAAGGGAGCGUAGACGGCCAUGCAAGCCAGGAGUGAAAGCCCGGGGCCCAACCCCGGGACUGCUCUUGGAACUGCGCGGCUGGAGUGCAGGAGGGGCAGGCGGAAUUCCUGGUGUAGCGGUGAAAUGCGUAGAUAUCAGGAGGAACACCGGUGGCGAAGGCGGCCUGCUGGACUGCGACUGACGUUGAGGCCCGAAAGCGUGGGGAGCAAACAGGAUUAGAUACCCGAGUAA
rnacentral:rRNA from 1 species